rnacentral:rRNA from 1 species
UACGGAGGGAGCUAGCGUUGUUCGGAAUUACUGGGCGUAAAGCGCGCGUAGGCGGCUUUGUAAGUUAGAGGUGAAAGCCCGGGGCUCAACCCCGGAACUGCCUUUAAAACUGCAUCGCUUGAAUCCGGGAGAGGUGAGUGGAAUUCCGAGUGUAGAGGUGAAAUUCGUAGAUAUUCGGAAGAACACCAGUGGCGAAGGCGGCCAUCUGGACGUUCACUGACGCUGAGACGCGAAAGCGUGGGUAGCAAACAGG